rnacentral:rRNA from 1 species
CCUACGGGGGGCAGCAGUGGGGGAUAUUGCACAAUGGGGGGAACCCUGAUGCAGCGACGCCGCGUGGGUGAAGGAGUAUUUCGGUAUGUAAAGCCCUAUCGGCAGGGAAGAAAUUGGACGGUACCUGACUAAGAAGCCCCGGCUAACUACGUGCCAGCAGCCGCGGUAAUACGUAGGGGGCAAGCGUUAUCCGGAUUCACUGGGUGUAAAGGGAGCGUAGACGGCCAGGCAAGCCUGGAGUGAAAGCCGGGGGCCCAACCCCGGGACUGCUCUGGGAACUGUCCGGCUGGAGUGCGGGAGGGGCAGGCGGAAUUCCUGGUGUAGCGGUGAAAUGCGUAGAUAUCAGGAGGAACACCGGCGGCGAAGGCGGCAUGCUGGACCGCGACUGACGUUGAGGCUCGAAAGCGUGGGGAGCGAACAGGAUUAGAUACCCGGGUAGUC